GCAGGGAGGCCGGAUCCUGGGCUGUGUCUACGGCGCCCUGUGCUCCCAGGCCUGCGCUGUUGGAUUCGUGCUCCGGCCACACAGCCCCCU
rnacentral:pre_miRNA from 1 species